UAGGGAAUCUUCGGCAAUGGGGGCAACCCUGACCGAGCAACGCCGCGGGAGUGAAGAAGGUUUUCGGAUCGUAAAGCUCUGUUGUAAGAGAAGAACGUGUGUGAGAGUGGAAAGUUCACACAGUGACGGUAACUUACCAGAAAGGGACGGCUAACUACGUGCCAGCAGCGGCGGUAAUACGUAGGUCCCGAGCGUUGUCCGGAUUUAUUGGGCGUAAAGCGAGCGCAGGCGGUUUAAUAAGUCUGAAGUUAAAGGCAGUGGCUUAACCAUUGUUCGCUUUGGAAACUGUUUAACUUGAGUGCAGAAGGGGAGAGUGGAAUUCCAUGUGUAGCGGUGAGAUGCGUAGAUAUAUGGAGGGACACCGGUGGCGAAGGCGACUCUCUGGUCUGUAACUGACGCUGAGGCUCGAAGGCGUGGGGAGCAAACAGG
rnacentral:rRNA from 1 species